rnacentral:rRNA from 1 species
ACGGAAGGCAGCAGUGGGGGAUAUUGCACAAUGGGGGAAACCCUGAUGCAGCGACGCCGCGUGAGUGAAGAAGUAUUUCGGUAUGUAAAGCUCUUUAAGCUGGAAAGAUAAUGACGGUACCAGCAGAAUAAGCCCCGGCUAACUACGUGCCAGCAGCCGCGGUAAUACGUAGGGGGCAAGCGUUAUCCGGAUUUACUGGGUGUAAAGGGAGCGCAGGCGGUUUUUUAAGUCUGAUGUGAAAGCCCGUGGCUCAACUGCGGGACUGCAUUGGAAACUGGAGAACUAGAGUGUCGGAGGGGCAAGUGGAAUUCCUAGUGUAGCGGUGAAAUGCGUAGAUAUUAGGAGGAACACCAGUGGCGAAGGCGGCUUGCUGGACGAUAACUGACGCUGAGGCUCGAAAGCGUGGGGAGCAAACAGGAUUAGAUACCCUGGUA